GGCCAAAAUGAAAGUAGGGUGGAGACUUGAGGGAGGCAGGACUUUUUCGGGACGUCAGGAUCGGGAUUUCGGGAUUGAUCCUUUCGUGAUCCGGGAAUAAUUUUUUUUCGAAUUUCGGGUGUCGGGAUAUGAAUGUCUUUAAAUUCGGCACCUCGGGAUUUCAUGUUUUAAAGCCAGGGAUUUCGGGCUGAGGACCCCUCCGACCCGUGACCCCUCAAAUUAGCCUUCGUCAUUUAUAAAAGAUUCAAAUCCUACCAUUGGCAUGUUAAUAGGGCUCUCAAAAGAAACUGAAAACACUGAUGGAUUGUCCUAGAAGCAUAUUUAUUUUUGUUAGAAUAAUAAUGGUCUAUAAGCAG
rnacentral:lncRNA from 1 species